rnacentral:rRNA from 1 species
UUAAGCUAUAAAGAGCAUAGGGUGGAUGCCUAGGCACUGAGAGCCGAUGAAAGACGUGAUAAGCUGCGAUAAGCUGCGGUAAGGAGCAAAUAUCCAUUGACCCGCAGAUUUCUGAAUGGGGAAACCUACGCAAGAAGACCUUGCGUACUCAUACAUGAAUACAUAGUGUAUGAGGGGGAACCCGGGGAACUGAAACAUCUAAGUACCCGGAGGAAGAGAAAGAAACAUCGAUUUCCUGAGUAGCGGCGAGCGAAAGGGAAAGAGCCUAAACCGGAGCGCGUGCGUUCCGGGGUUAUGGACUGCAAAAGUGAGUUGAAAGCUAGAAGAAAGGUUUUGGGAAAGCCUGCCAGAGAGAGUGAAAGCCUCGUAUUCGAAAGCGGAAGACAGCGGCAGUAUCCGGAGUACCACGAGACACGAGAAACCUUGUGGGAAAUCGGGGGGACCACCCCCCAAGGCUAAAUACUACUUAGUGACCGAUAGCGCAUAGUACUGUGAAGGAAAGGUGAAAAGAACCCCGGGAGGGGAGUGAAAGAGAACCUGAAACCCUGUGUCUACAAGCUGUGGAAGCACCCUAUGAGUGCAACCGCGUACUUUUUGUAGAACGGUCCGGCGAGUUAUGUGGUGUGGCAAGGUUAAGCACAGAAAGUGUGGAGCCGAAGGGAAACCAAGUCUUAACUGGGCGACAAAGUCACAUAACAUAGACCCGAAACCGGGUGAUCUAUCCAUGUCCAGGUUGAAGCUGCUGUAAAAGGUGGUGGAGGACCGAACGCACAUCCGUUGAAAAGGGUGGCGAUGAGGUGUGGAUAGGGGAGAAAUUCCAAUCGAACUCGGAGAUAGCUGGUUCUCCUCGAAAUAGUUUUAGGACUAGCCUGUCAGGAGUCUGCUGGAGGUAGAGCACUGAAUUUUUGCGGGGGCGUCAAAGCCUACCAAUGAAUAUCAAACUCCGAAUGCCAGCCAGAUGCUCUGAUGGAGUCAGACUGCACGAGAUAAGUUGGGUAGUCAAAAGGGAAACAGCCCAGACCACCAGCUAAGGUCCCAAAGUGCGUGUUAAGUGGAAAAGGAUGUGGGAAUUCGAAGACAACUAGGAUGUUGGCUCAGAAGCAGCCAUUCAUUCAAAGAGUGCGUAACAGCUCACUAGUCGAGAGUUCCUGCGCCGAAAAUGUCCGGGGCUAAAACACGACACCGAAGCUGUGGAAUCAUGCUUGCAUGAUUGGUAGAGGAGCAUUCGCUGAGAGACGAAGCUGUACCGGAAGGAGCAGUGGAUUUCAGUGAAGAGAGAAUGCCGGAAUGAGUAGCGAGAGAUAGGUGAGAAUCCUAUCGGCCGAAUAUCUAAGGUUUCCAGAGUAAAGCUGAUCUGCUCUGGGUAAGUCGGGGCCUAAGGCGAGGUCGAAAGACGUAGUCGAUGGAUAACAGGUGGAGAUUCCUGUACUAUGUGUACCCAGAACUGUGGGGACGCAUGUGGAGAGCACGAGCCGGGAAAGAGAAAACCGGUACAAGCGGGGUAGGAGUAAGGACAGCAAAUCUUCCUUACAAUCCGAAGACGUAAUGUGGACCGAACCAAAGUAGGGAAGCGUGUGAGCCAUGUGCCAAGAAAAGCCGCUAUUGUGAUACACAUACCCGUACCGUAAACCGACACAGGUGGAUGAGGAGAGAAUCCUAAGGCCGACGGAAGAAGCAUUGUUAAGGAACUCGGCAAAAUGACCCCGUAACUUCGGGAGAAGGGGUGCCCUGUGAAAGCAGGGCCGCAGAGAAUAGGCUCAAGCAACUGUUUAGCAAAAACACAGGUCUAUGCGAAACCGAAAGGUGAGGUAUAUGGGCUGACGCCUGCCCGGUGCUGGAAGGUUAAGAGGAGAGGUUAGCGCAAGCGAAGCUUUGAAUUUAAGCCCCAGUAAACGGCGGCCGUAACUAUAACGGUCCUAAGGUAGCGAAAUUCCUUGUCGGG